UACGGAGGGUGCAAGCGUUAUCCGGAUUCACUGGGUUUAAAGGGUGCGUAGGCGGGCAUGUAAGUCCGUGGUGAAAUCUCCGAGCUUAACUCGGAAACUGCCAUGGAUACUAUGUGUCUUGAAUGUUGUGCAGGUGAGCGGAAUAUGUCAUGUAGCGGUGAAAUGCUUAGAUAUGACAUAGAACACCAAUUGCGAAGGCAGCUCACUACACAAAUAUUGACGCUGAGGCACGAAAGCGUGGGGAUCAAACAGG
rnacentral:rRNA from 1 species